GGGUUAGUAGCUCAGUGGCAGAGCAACCAGCCUUUAACUGAUUUGUCAAGAGUUCAAUUCUCUUCUAACCCA
rnacentral:tRNA from 1 species